rnacentral:rRNA from 1 species
CGGCGUGCUUAACACAUGCAAGUCGAGCGCGAAAUUCAACUUCGGUUGGAGAGUAGAGCGGCGCACGGGUGAGUAACACGUGAAUAAUCUGCCUCAAAGCCCGGGAUAACCAUUGGAAACGGUGGCUAAUACCGGAUAAGCCCCCACCAUCGUCGGAUGGAGAGGGAAAAGUUCAGGCGCUUUGAGAUGAGUUCGCGUCCCAUUAGGUAGUUGGUGAGGUAACGGCUCACCAAGCCGAAGAUGGGUAGCUGGUCUGAGAGGAUGAUCAGCCACACUGGAACUGAGACACGGUCCAGACUCCUACGGGAGGCAGCAGUGGGGAAUAUUGCGCAAUGGGCGAAAGCCUGACGCAGCAACGCCGCGUGAGUGACGAAGGCCCUUGGGUCGUAAAGCUCUGUCAAGAGGGACGAAGCAAGUGACGGUACCUCUAAAGGAAGCACUGGCUAACUCCGUGCCAGCAGCCGCGGUAAUACGGAGAGUGCAAACGUUGUUCGGAAUCAUUGGGCGUAAAGCGCGCGUAGGUUGUGUAUCAGGUCGAGUGUGAAAGCCCAGGGCUCAACCCUGGAACUGCGCUCGAAACCGGUACGCUAGAGUCCCUAAGGGAGAAGCGGAACUCUUGGUGUAGGGGGUGAAAUCCGUAGAUAUCAGGAGGAACACCAGAGGCGAAGGCGGCUUCUUGGUAGGGUACUGACACUGAGGUGCGAAAGCGUGGGUAGCAAACAGGAUUAGAUACCCUGGUAGUCCACGCCGUAAACGAUGCUCACUAGUGAUGGAGGUAUUGACCCCUUCAUUGCCGUAGUUAACGCGUUAAGUGAGCCGCCUGGGGAGUACGGUCGCAAGAUUAAAACUC